rnacentral:rRNA from 1 species
CCCUUAGAUGUUCUGGGCCGCACGCGCGCUACACUGUUCGACGCAGCGAGUCUUAACCUUGACCGAAAGGUUUGGGUAAUCUUCAGCAAAGUCGAACGUGAUGGGGAUCGAUCAUUGCAAUUAUUGAUCGUGAACGAGGAAUUCCUAGUAAGUGCAAGUCAUCAGCUUGCGCUGAUUACGUCCCUGCCCUUUGUACACACCGCCCGUCGCUACUACCGAUUGAAUGGUUUAGUGAGAUCUCUGGAUUGACGCUGGCUAGGCGGCGACCCUUGGCCAGACUGUUGAGAAACUGCUCAAACUUGAUCAUUUAGAGGAAGUAAAAGUCGUAACA